UACGAAGGGGGCUAGCGUUGCUCGGAAUGACUGGGCGUAAAGGGCGCGUAGGCGGCUUGCACAGUCAGGCGUGAAAGCCCCGGGCUCAACCUGGGAACCGCGCUUGAGACUGGCAUGCUCGAGUUCGGGAGAGGAUGGUGGAAUUCCCAGUGUAGAGGUGAAAUUCGUAGAUAUUGGGAAGAACACCGAUGGCGAAGGCAGCCAUCUGGACCGACACUGACGCUGAGGCGCGAAAGCGUGGGGAGCAAACAGG
rnacentral:rRNA from 1 species